UCGUAACAAGGUUUCCGUAGGUGAACCUGCGGAAGGAUCAUUGACACACAUCCUAACCGAUGCUUGUGCCAACAAGCAGACCCAGCGAACCAUUCUCCUAUCACUUGAGGGGCUGCAUCGCGAGGUGCAGCUGUCGGCGGUCGGGCCCUUGCUUCAGGGGCCGGAGUCCUUGCUGGGUUCACCGUUGCGGGUGAGCACCGGCCGUCCGACGGGGGCCGCUCUUGGGCCUCGCACACGGGAGAGUGCGGGGGCGGCGUUUCCCACUCCAGCUGUCCCUUCCGGGGCAGUUGCGCAACCAACCAAACACUAUGCAAAAACCGACUGAAGACCGAUCCUUUGCGGGCGCCUUCGGGAGCCCUGCCUCGGAUCAAAACAAACUAAAGACAACUCUCAACAACGGAUAUCUUGGCUCUCGCAACGAUGAAGAACGCAGCGAAAUGCGAUACGUAGUGUGAAUUGCAGAAUUCCGUGAAUCAUCGAAUCUUUGAACGCAUAUUGCGCCCGCGGCCUCGGCCAAGGGCAUGCCUGCCUGAGCGUCAUUAUAACACCUCACAACCCUUUUAGGGUAGUGGAUCUGGCCGUCCGGACUCUCGAGCCUGGUCGGCUGAAAGGCAGAUGCAAAGCCAGCAGCCCAUUCAACGGCAAGGCGUGGUAGACCGCAUCGCGGGCGAUCGUCGUGCCGGGGCUGCCUUUUGGCCUUCGCAUUAGCAGGAACCGCCGCUCCCGACGGACUUCGGUCCGAAAGGAGCCGGCCUUGACCCAUUGACCUCAGAUCAGACAAGAUUACCCGCCGAAUUUAAGCAUAUUACUA
rnacentral:rRNA from 1 species